UACGGAGGAUGCAAGCGUUAUCCGGAUUUAUUGGGUUUAAAGGGUGCGCAGGUUGUUUGAUAAGUCAGUGGUGAAAGUCUGUCGCUUAACGGUAGGAUUGCCAUUGAUACUGUUGGACUUGAAUAUGGAUGAGGUAGGCGGAUGUGUAGUGUAGCGGUGAAAUGCAUAGAUAUUACACAGAACACCGAUUGCGAAGGCAGCUUACUAACCCAUCAUUGACGCUGAGGCACGAAAGCGUGGGGAUCAAACAGGA
rnacentral:rRNA from 1 species